UCGGUGGUGAUUUUAUCGUGUGACUCGUUAAAUUUCCCGAGCUACGUAAUUGACACGAUGCGUACCGCGAUUCAAUCGAAAAUGGUGUUUUUAAUUCAAAACCGCGCGAUUUACGUUGUCGAGUAACAGGACUAGUUACUUUGGAAGUUAUCGUGCCCCCUCAGGUAAAAUAACUACGGUUUUAUCAUACAUGACGACAACGGAUAUCCAGGGGAAUCGAUCUUUUGUUUAAUUGCUGUAAGCUUUUCCUUCGAUUGUCGUGAACGCGUGUCGUUGCGAGAAGAAUGCCAUGCGGAAGGCCAAAGACGAUCGUGUCAAAAUCACGACGCGUCAUUUUCGCAUCGGCAUCGAGGAAGAGGAGGACGAGGAGAACAACGAGGCGGAGAAUUCAGCAGCCAGAGAGAAGGA